GGGAGACGGGCAGGCCAACCGGCCAAUCCAGGCCAUUCUUGCUACCAGGGCACCAGACCCCCUGCAUCUCCUUAUAAGGAGGCUCUGAGGAGAGCCAGGGUGGCCUAGUGGUUAGAGCGUCGGCCCAGGACCUGGAGAGACGCAGGUUCAAAUCCACAUUUGACCACGAAGCUGGGUGAUGCUUGCCACUGCUCAGUCUCGCCUACUUUACAGGGUUGUUGUGGUGUCGAAUUGGGGAGGGGGUGAAGAACUAUGUAUGCCCCCUUGAAAUCUUUGGAGGAAAAGGUAUAAACCUCAUACAUAUCUCAAUGUUUGCUGCUUCCCGAAAUGGCAGUUUGGGAGGGGGGCGAGCCUCCAUCUUGGAGCCCGAAGGCACCGAUUGGGAGUGGGGGAGAAUAUAAUAAUAUAAUAAUUUGUUAUUUAUACCCUGCCCAUCUGGCUGGGCUUCCCCAGCCAUUCUGGGCGGCUUCCAACAAAAUAUUAAAAUACCGUAAUACAUCAGACAUUAAAAGCUUCCCCAAACAGGGCUGCCUUCAGAUGUCUUCUAAAAGUUUGGUAGAAUAAUAAUAUGAGGGGUCCACUUGCAAAUUGGGGAGCAAGUGAGGUUGAGCGAGAGAAAACGCAGGCCAUGUUAGCUUGCCUACUGUCAGCAUGAACUAUCCAACGCCACUGUGACUUCCUUCCAACUAUAUCUUAUGCCAGCCUUUGCCAAAUGGGCUGCUUCGAACUACAACUCCCAUGAUGCUCUGCUCACCUGCUUGGCAAUUUCCGUGAGGAUUCCAUCAGGGCAAACCCAAACACAGCCUGUUGUCAAAUUUCUCAAACGGCAGGCAAAUAACAAAGGGAAUCUGCCCUGCUGACUUCUUCCACUUAUCCAUCAGGCUAACUAUCUGCAUCCCAGCUAGUUGUUACAAAAACUGGUUGCCUGAGUUAGCUUUUUUUUAUUCCUCCUCCCUCCUCCUCCUCCAACUCUUUUUCCUUUUGUGCUGUGUCUGUCAGACUAUAAUCUUGCAGGCAGGACUGGGCUUUUUUAAAUCUCCCUGUAAACAUCGUCCUCUCCCUAGGGAACGGCAGCUCUGUGAUGGCCAGCAGGGAAUUUCCAGCAGCUUCAAAAAACUAAGUUUUCCAGGAGUCGUUUGGGGAAGAAGCAACCGCUAAACGGGUUCGAAACUGGUGUGGCCUUGUAUGCAGACCCAGGGAAUCCACACUUCCACACGGAAAGAGCAGAAAAUGUCCAAGCUAAAGUCAGAGGCAGAUAUAGGUCAGAGCAACUGGUUUCACAGCACAGCAAGUAUGACAUAGUGAACUGAGCAAAAGGGAAGGUGAGAGGCUUGGAUGGGUACCAAUUUUUGGCCUUGCACAGAGCAUCGCUAAAAUUUGAAAGACCGAAGUCGUCCCCCCGCAACCCAACAAAGGCACAUUGACCCUCAGCACAUUGCAAAGGAUCUUUGGGUGCCUUUACGGGGUCUCACACUGCUUCUCUGGCGUCCCCAAUAAUACUGCAGCCUGCAAGCGAUCGCUUUGGUCAUCUGUGUGGUCAUCCCAGCUGUGACAACACAUCCUAAGGUAAAGGUAAAGGGACCCCUGACCAUUAGGUCCAGUCGUGGCCAACUCUGGGGUUGCGGCGCUCAUCUCGCUUUAUUGGCCGAGGAAGCCGGUGUACAGCUUCCGGGUCAUGUGGCCAGCAUGACUAAGUCGCUUCUGGCGAACCAGAGCAGCACACGGAAACGCCCUUUACCUUCCCGCCGGAGCGGUACCUAUUUAUCUACUUGCACUGGUGUGCUUUUGAACUGCUAGGUUGGCAAGAGCAGGGACCGAGCAACGGGAGUUCACCCCAUCGCGGGGAUUCGAACCGCCGACCUUCUGGUCGGAAAGUCCUAGGCUCUGUGGUUUAACCCACAGCGCCAUCCGUGUCCCAUACAACACAUCCUAGAAGGCUUUAAAAGAGGGCUGGACCAAAUCACAGGAAGAGGAGAGGGCUAUCGAUGGCUACUAGACUCAGCCCCCAGAGGCAGCAAUGAUUCUGAAUACCAGGUGCUAGGAACCGCAGGAAGGGAGAUCGCUCCUGUGUUCGAAUCCUGCUCCCAGGCUUCUCACAGGCAUCUGGGAGAACAGGAUGCUGGACUAAAUACGCCAUUGGUCUGAUCCAGCAAGCUCUCCUUAUGUACUCACCCUACUUUGCAAAUAAUUCUGCCCUUCAUUAAGGGUCCCCCGCAUAAACUGCCAGCACAAGGGACUCCACCGGGACCCCCCUGUGAGGGUUAGGGGACCGUGACCUUUGCUGUGGUCGCAAUCCAGAUUCAGGGCCUGGAGUUUGUAGUUUACAGGGCAAAGGAGGGGUCCCAUGGAAACAUGAGAGACCUCCUUUUUUUGCAAUGCAAGGUGCCAUCACAGGGGGGUCAGUUCUGGAUCUGCAGUGGGUCCUGUUCCCCUUGUGUCGGAGACCCUGAUCCUGAUCAGACCCUAUUGGCUGUCUUCGGGGGGGGGGAAGACAGUGACCCUGAACUUAAGAAGCAGAUUGAUGGAGAUCAGGUGACGUUCAGUGUGGCCCUUACUCAGAAUUCAUUGCGUGGCCCCUCAAUUUCCCCACCUCUUUCCUCCCUCUGCUCCCCACCGCAGAACUAAACUCCAAAGAGUAGCCAAAGCCCGAGGGUCAGGCCUGCGUCUUCCACUCCUGCCUUGAAGGAACCCUUUCCCCAUCCUUUUGUGCAAGCAACACACCCGAUUCGACUCCAGGAGGGCAAGAGGCGGCCAUUCUAGUGAGGACGGGAGAAUUCUAGCAGCGGUUGCAAACGGACGUGGUGCUGAGGGCAGUGCUGAGAGCUGAGCAAGGGCAGCAGGACCCCCAGAGCCAAAAAAUGGGGUCUGGAAAUGCAGGGGAAGGAGCUAGCCUCCUUAAAAAAAUAAAAAUAAACGAAGUACAAAUGGUGGUACCUCCACACUUAAUUAGUGCCCAAAGCGAACGGGCAGAUCUGCAGAUUUGCUUCUCCCUGUGUGUUCGCCUCUUAGACCUAACCCAAUUUUCAAAAAUUAUUUUCCUGCUCCCCAGAUCUUUCCGCUCACCCCCCACCACCCAAAGCUUUUUGGGAAGUUCC
rnacentral:lncRNA from 1 species